AACCCAUAAUGAAGGCAUCGCUUAAUAAGAUCCUUGAACCUUUCAUGUGCCUCGAAUAAUGUUUCAGACUUUCUUUGCUUGAUAGCUGAGAUCACCUGUAUGAUUUU